UACGAAGGGGGCUAGCGUUGCUCGGAAUCACUGGGCGUAAAGCGCACGUAGGCGGCUUUUUAAGUCAGGGGUGAAAUCCUGGAGCUCAACUCCAGAACUGCCUUUGAUACUGGGAAGCUUGAGUCCGGGAGAGGUGAGUGGAAUUCCUAGUGUAGAGGUGAAAUUCGUAGAUAUUAGGAAGAACACCAGUGGCGAAGGCGGCUCACUGGCCCGGUACUGACGCUGAGGCGCGAAAGCGUGGGGAGCAAACAGG
rnacentral:rRNA from 1 species